CCCAAGAUUCUAGGACAGUGUGCUGUGUACCCAAACUCCUGCAGAGGUCCAUUCAUUGUCAUUCUGAAGGGUUCCCCAACAGCAGAAGGCUAACUCUGUUCCAUUAUUGACUUACCAUGCCAAGAUCCCUGUAUUGUGAUAAUCCAAAAACUGGAUAGACCUCCUCUUCUGAUGUAUUCAUGGAGCUGCAAAAACCCUGGCAACCACACAAUAUGAGUAGCAGUGCAUUCAGUUUGUUGACUUCCAUUGCCUUCAGCAACAUUAUUACACAGCCAAAUUUCAUAGGCCAAAUGAAAGGGGGUAAUUACUAAUCAAGGAAGGAGAAAACACCAGCUACCAGGUGAAACAAUGGCAUUGAAGAGGAAAUUAAAUAGAGAAAGGGCACCUGAGCAAGUCAAUCCAAUUCCCAUCAAAGUGAACUGAAGUUCUCUAGACACUGAUCAACCCUCAAAACAAUACUUUAGGACAAAGCUAAAUUCACAUUUAGGACAAAGCUAAAUGCACAUAUUCUGCAUAUCAUCAGUCUUUUGCAAUUGCUGAUCCGCUGAUGUUUUUAAGCAAAACCCCCCAUAAUUUUUAAUUAAAAUGGUUAUGAAAAUGCC